AUUGAACGCUGGCGGCAGGCCUAACACAUGCAAGUCGAACGAGUGGCGGACGGGUGAGGAAUACAUCGGAAUCUACUCUGUCGUGGGGGAUAACGUAGGGGCACUUACGCUAAUACCGCAUACGAUUGAAUGAGCGGAUGUCGGAUUAGCUAGUUGGCGGGGUAAAGGCACACCACGGCGACGCUCCGUAGAUGGUCUGGGAGGAUGAACAGCCACACUGGAACUGAGACACGGUCCAGACUCCUACGUGAGGCAGCAGUGGGGAAUAUUGGACAAUGGGCGCAAGCCUGAUGCAGCCAUACCGCGUGGGUGAAGAAGGCCUUCGGGUUGUAAAGUCCUUUUGUUGGGAAAGCGGUACCCAAAGAAUAAGCACCGGCUAACUUCGUGCCAGCCGCCGCGGUAAUAC
rnacentral:rRNA from 1 species